UGCCAGCAGCCGCGGUAAUACGGAGAGGGCAAGCGUUGUUCGGAAUCACUGGGCAUAAAGCGCACGUAGGCGGAUUGGAAAGUCGGUUGUGAAAGCCCGGGGCUCAACCCCGGAACUGCAUUCCGAACUGCCGAGCUAGAGGACAGGAGGGGGAUCUGGAACUCUAGGUGGAGCGGUGAAAUGCGUAGAUAUCUAGAGGAACGCCGGUGGCGAAAGCGAGAUCCUGGCCUGUCCCUGACGCUGAGGCGCGAAAGCGUGGGUAGCAAACAGGAUUAGAUA
rnacentral:rRNA from 1 species